ensembl:lncRNA
ACAGAUGACUCAAGAUAAUUACAUUGUUGGUUUUUUUUGUGUGCCCUUUUGGAUUGGGAUAGACCCGCUGUUUCUCACAAACUCAUUGCGUUCCAAAGUCAGGUUGUGUACAAAAGUACAGUUGAGGUUAAAAAUGGCAGUGGGAACAUGUUGGCCGGCCCUGUAACCCCUGAAAGCCAGGCUCCAAGCCCUCACCCCAAGUGCCUGUCAAAUGGGCAACAGUGAUUGUGAAAGGCUAAAGUCAACGGUAGAGUCUGAAAGAUGCAGGAGCCAUGGCAACAUCCCUGUUGUUUUGUACCUGGGUAGCAUCAGAGUUGUUACUGUACUUUUGGAUGUUUUGUUGUGUAGAAAAACCUCACUAAUGGAUACAUCCUCUUGGCCAUUUUGCCGGAAGACCAUGAGGGGGGUUGGUGGGUGCCUGGAAGGAAAGGUAGCUGUUUUCAACUGAUGUGACAGGCUGCCAUAUCGUUCAACAGCAAGUCAGUCUCCUGAAGGGCUUGUCUUUUAUCAUUGUGCCACUACUCUACCAGAAAUUAAAAGUAGAAGAUAAACAAUCGUUUCCGUCCAUCUAUUCCUUUGCAAACCAAAUUGCCCAAGAUGUUGACACAACCCUAAUAUAUCUCUGCAGUUGUAACGGCUCAGAUAUUGUUCAGACAAAAAAGACUUUGCAAUGUGGGUAAUUUGAUUUACUUUAAUAGGACGCAGUUGGCACCAAAUUAUUACAUACUUUUGCGUGUGUGUGUGUGUGUGUGUGUGUGUGUUGUGUGUGAGAGGAGUGUGUGAGAGGACUGUGUGUGAGAGGAGUGUGCAUAAUGAUCAAGGCGCGGCGUGGAGAUGUUGACACGGAUGAGUGCGUGCCCGUGUUGCGUUGCCCGCGGUAACACGGUGCAUGGGAGUUGCUUUGAUCAGCCGGGGGCUGCUUCGGGUCAGACGGGCGGGACGAGGGGGGUGGGAGGCUGUGUCGUGGGACGUGUCCUCCGCCGGCUUCUCUCUGGCGUUAAUGCACACGGGGAUCAGAGGAGUCUCGGAGCCGGCACCGCCGACGUUUCCCAGCGCGUUUAUCGGGAGAGGCUGUUCGUGUGAGUAAACGGGAGGGAGAUGUUGGAACGUGUGUCGGCUGACCGCGCUGCUGACUUAGUGUUUUUGAUGUGUUUGUUGUCUCCCGCUCUCUCUCUAUCGAAUGCUUUUUCUCCAUCUGCUUGUGUCUGUGGUUGCAUUACACCAAUCAAUGCAUGUACUGUUUCCCUAUGAUAACAGAAUGUGCUGUAUACUGUUUUUCUUUUUCUUAUUAGCAGCCAAUUUCACAAGCCGUUUCUUCUGUUGAUUUUUGUUGAAGUAUAAUUGGAUCAAACCGCUUUUGCGAAUGCGACAUAUUUUCUUUGCACAGGUUUGCUUUCCUAAUCUGUGCUCGCUUAAGCGUGUAAUGCAG